CACGUAGGGUGCGAGCGUUGUCCGGAAUUAUUGGGCGUAAAGGGCUCGUAGGCGGUCUGUUGCGUCGGGAGUGAAAACUCAGGGCUUAACCCUGAGCCUGCUUCCGAUACGGGCAGACUAGAGGUAUGCAGGGGAGACUGGAAUUCCUGGUGUAGCGGUGAAAUGCGCAGAUAUCAGGAGGAACACCGGUGGCGAAGGCGGGUCUCUGGGCAAUAACUGACGCUGAGGAGCGAAAGCGUGGGGAGCGAACAGG
rnacentral:rRNA from 1 species